UCCGCUUCACCUUUACAUGCGUGGAGGUGGACAUACAUGGCGCCGUUUGUUCUUGAAAACCAUCAUGACAACAGAAACCUGGUACGGUAAUCAUGACAUGAUGACAGAACAGUAAUAUGACAUGAUGACAGAACAGUAAUCAUGACAUGAUGACAGAACAGUAAUCGUGACAUGACGACAGUACAGUAAUCGUGACAUCAUGACAGAACAGUAAUUGUGACAUAAUGACAGAACAGUAAUCAUGACAUGACGACAGAACAGUAAUCGUGACAUGAUAACAGAACAGUAAUCGUGACAUAAUGACAGAA